AUGUUGGGUUGGUGUUCUUUGUAGGUAUGGCUGGAGAAUGUUGUUCUGUAUUUUCGUAUUAGUGUCUAUUGAUUUAUACUGAUAGAGGGUGUAGUGUUGGGUCCCUCCUAGAUGGAGAGGACCAAUUGGGAUGAACUUAAGAAAUAAUAAUGUUCCCCCUUUGUCACUAGACACAUAAUAAUAGAGUUUUGACAAAAAGAAGAGAGAGAAAAAGGAGAAAAAGAGAGAGAAGGAGAAAACUCGUAAGGUGUUUUCA
rnacentral:lncRNA from 1 species